UUUAUUCGAGCACAUAUAGUUCAGAACCGGGAGAUUUACACCAGGGUUAUCCCUCCAGUUGGGGAAGUCUUCAGUGCGGAGGAAGGAAAGAUACGUAUCGCUGUGUCACGUGAUAAGCUGUAUGUGAAGAAUGCUGGUGUAAGGGCGUGGUUUACAGUGACUGACAUCCCAGUGACCAAUGGUGUGAUCCACGUGAUUGACGGACCCGUCUGGGUUGGCUUAUAGAACCGUGGAGGAGGUGCUUAUCGCGGAACCGGAAGUGAUGCCAUUUUACAGCUUUAUUUCUCACCUGCCGGUUACCCGAGCAACCAUGCACUCAAAACGUCCGGUAACGGUGUUUGCACCUUCUAGCGGAUAUUUCACCUCCAUUCAAACUAAACUCACUACACUCAGAGCCAACGAGGACUUCCAGAGAAAGCUUUUUCUUGGUCACUUGGUGCCAAUCUUGUAGUGAACCGAACCUAUAUCAAUUCGCAGAGAAACAGUUGGAAUUUUACAACCGGGCACAAUAUCACCUUCCGCUUCGCGAAAGAAACUCAAGAUGCCUUCGUCGUAGGCAUUUACCGCGACUACAGCAUAAUUAUGUCCAAACCCGACAUGAAAUGUACAAACGGGAUCAUCUACGUCAUCGAGGGCCUCCUGAAUUUCUCACCCUACACUGCUCGGGAGGUGUCCGAGAGGAAGCUAACCUCAGGAACAUUUUUCACACAUUGAUAGUCCGCUCGUGGCAGCGUUACCUUGGCGACACAACUCAGCUCCACACAGUUCUGGCACCUGAUGACACUGUGAACCGCAAACAGGGUUCUGCCGUAGAGCGCAUGCUCAGUAGCAAUCGGCAUAUAGA